UAGCGGCAGGCUUAAUACAUGCAAGUCGUGGGGCAGCAUGAGUAGCAAUACUUGAUGGCGACCGGCAAACGGGUGAGGAACACGUACACAACCUUCCUUCAAGCGGGGAAUAGCCCAGAGAAAUUUGGAUUAAUACCCCAUAAUAUAUUUGAUAAGGCAUCUUAUUAAUAUUAAAAGCUUCGGCACUUGAUGAUGGGUGUGCGGCUGAUUAGAUAGUUGGCGGGGUAACGGCCCACCAAGUCUACGAUCAGUAGCUGAUGUGAGAGCAUGAUCAGCCACACGGGCACUGAGACACGGGCCCGACUCCUACGGGAGGCAGCAGUAAGGAAUAUUGGACAAUGGACGAAAGUCUGAUCCAGCCAUGCCGCGUGAAGGAUUAAGGUCCUCUGGAUUGUAAACUUCUUUUAUAUGGGACGAAAAAGGGCAUUCUUGUUCACUUGACGGUACCAUAUGAAUAAGCACCGGCUAACUCCGUG
rnacentral:rRNA from 1 species